rnacentral:rRNA from 1 species
UACGGAGGAUGCGAGCGUUAUCCGGAUUUAUUGGGUUUAAAGGGUGCGUAGGCUGGUAAUUAAGUCAGUGGUGAAAUACUCCGGCUCAACCGGGGGGCUGCCGUUGAUACUGGUUACCUUGAGUUUAGAUGAUGUGGGUGGAAUGUGUCAUGUAGCGGUGAAAUGCGUAGAGAUUAGGAAGAACACCAGUGGCGAAGGCGAUUCUCUGGACUGUAACUGACGCUGAGGCUCGAAAGCGUGGGGAGCAAACAGGAUUAGAUACCCGUGUAGU